GUCAUAUUAACUCACUUAAGCAGCCAGAUAUAUAGAUGGCACUCAAUUUUCUUCUGAACACCUAACAUUCACCCAAUUGUUACGUAUUUGAGGACUUCCUUUAUAGAUUAUGGUAAGAUAUAUAUGAUCUAUAGAUUGAUAUCAGGACUAUAAUGUAUGUGGGGCAGCAUCUGUUCUCCAGAAAUGCUCAAAAUUAAAAUGAUUAAGAUCUUAAGAAAGUGUUCAGAAAUAAAAUGUUUUGAAUGAAAACAGCAAUGAAUCAUUGUCAUAGAGAGCUUUCAGAGUUGUCAAUGACUAAACAGCACAGAUCCCCCAAAAGGAAUUAGCAGAUGCAAAAGGCUUUGUUUCAGGUUUGGUUCAAAGAGGUUCCCAGAUUUGGAAAAUGCAUAUUAGAAUUACCUGAGCUUCUCUAGCAAGCACAUCAUAUAAUAAUUUCACAAGUAGUGGCUGUUUUCUUAAGAUUUCUGGAAAUUACUGUCCUGACUGACCUUAAUAUGAGAACAUUUUGGUGAUAUUUCAACAUUUCUGGUUCUGGCAGCAAAAUGUGGAAAAAGAAUCAUCACCUUACGCUUAGUUGAAUGUUUCUUUAAAUAAAAGGCUUAGUUUGCAUUUGGUUGUGAUGCAGUAUGGAGAAUGUGAGACCGUUUUUUCCAAACAAGAUUGCUCAUUCCUACAGGAAAUGACCUCAUUCUUGAUGGCUGCUGCUAACUUAUGGUGAGAUGCUGGGUCCCUGCCCAAUACCACAUGGACAUCCAAUCAAUUUACCCAGGGACAAGUCCACUCAAGAGCAUCAUUUAGAAGAGGGAAAAGGCACUGGGGUUAUUUGUUUUUGGAGUAUGUGCUUAAGGAAAUCUAGAGUAUUCCCACGAGCAUUCUGCUGAGAUGAACAAUCAGAUGACCUCGUGUGAGAUUUGGAGGAGAGAAGGAAAUGGAGAGCAUGCGUCUGCCGCUUCUGUGGUUUCUGUCGGCUUUCUCCAUAUUUACGUGCUUGUAACUCUGGCAUGACCUUUGCUCCAGUCUCUACCAGAGGGCGGUGCCUGGAUUGAAGUGGAAAAGCCCUGUUUUCCAGCCAUGACCCAGGGAGCAAGCACUGACUCCUCAGGGGAACAGGAGACCUGCCAACUAGGACCCUGGGAGCCCCCAUGCUGGCAGUGCCCUGGGUCAUCUCAGGCUCAUCAGCAAAUCCUGGGGGGAGAGCGGGGCUGGAGGGCGAAGAAGCCCAGGAGAGUUCCUGGCUCAGAACCCCUCUCUGAGGCUCCCAAUACAGAGCCCAGGCCCCACACCCAGGGCCUCUGAGUAUUUUUGUUUAUUGUAUGUAAAAUACUAGUGUAUUUUUGUUUAAGUCUCACAGGUAAACAGGUUCUCUCAUACUUUGCCAAGGGAAAUGUGAUCUGUGCAAUUUGGCAAUAACUAUCAGAAUUUUAAAAGCUUAUGCCCUUUGACCUAGUAAUUUCACUUCUAAGAAUUUCCCCUGCAGAGAUAUGUAUAUCUUGUAUGAAAUGAAGAGGCUACGAAGACAGGCAACGCCGCAGUGUUUAUAAUAGCGAAGACCAGACACAACCCACAUGUCUAAAGGUUCUGAUUUUUAAAACUGUAGUAUAUCUGUACAAUGAGCACUCCACAUCCUUUAAGAAUGAGGAAGGGCUGUGUGAACUGAAAUGGAACUAUCUCUAAGAUUUAUUAAGUUAAAAAAAUUCAAGAGUAGCACAGUGUGUAGGGUAUGCCAUCAUUUGUAUGAUAUAAGGUCGUAUAUCUGCCAUCUCAAAUGAGGAACAGUGGUUGCCUCUGGGAAGGGAAUUGGAUGGCUAGGAAUGGGGUAGGAAAGAGGUUUGCUUUUCAGAACAUUUUAUACUAUUUAAGUUUUGUAACAAGUGCAUCUAUUUUGACUUAAAAGAUAAAAAAUGAAAAGGAAAGGCUCCACUAGUGAUUCUGAUGCUCACAAAGAUUAAGAACCAAUGCGAAUGAGGAACUCAUGACACCGCCCAGGAGACAGUGAACAUAUCUCUUCAAAUAUCAAAAACCUUUCAGCAGAGGGUGAGAACAUGUGCCUGGGGUAAGCAUGGGUGGGCAUGAGCUGGGUACAGAGGUGAUUCCCAGGGACAUACAACUACCUUGCCCUCCUGGGAUCAGGUCUUCCUCCCACCUUAGCCUCCCAUAUUGUUGGGACCACAGGCAUGCACCACCACACCUGGUUAAUUUUUUUUUUUUUUUUUUUUUUGUAGCGACAGAGUCUCGCCAUGUUGCCUAGGCUGGUCUCGAACUCCUGGGCUCAGGCAAUCCUUCUGCCUCGUCCUUCCAAAGUGCUGAGAUUACAGGCAUGAGCCACUGCACCCAGCCUGACAGUAGCUUUUAAUCUCUGGACUCUCAUCACCGUUUGGACUGUGAGCUGUGGUUCUAGCUCUUGGAUCUGAUGGGCAUCUUCCCUCAAAUAUGUCAGUUUCUCUCUCCAGGUCCCUUGCUUUGUCUUCCUUUUUGCCUCCUCGGGCCUGAUACCUUUCUCUGGGCUUCUCUACUCUGCCCCGAGCUGCCUAGUUUUGCGAAUAAUGUCACAUCCAGAUGUCAGCAGCCCUGAUGUCCAUGUGACAAUGCUCCCUUGCUGUCCAUGUGACAAUGCUCCCUUGGUGUCCCAGUGACAGAUUUUCCCAUGCUUCACCCUCUCUCUUUUUUAAUUUUUUUUUCUGUACACAGCUCUCAGUCAAGCCCCUUGAGCUGCCUCCAACUGUUUGCUCAUGUCUGUUCCCAGCAAUCUUUUCCUCUUUUAGCACAAUCUUCCUUAACUUACUAGUUUUUUGAAACAGAGCCUAUUAGUCUUCACAGCGCUACCUUUCUGAUCUCAGAGUUCACCAAAAAGCUUUUCCUCCCAUCAUGCCUGCCUCCCUUUCUUCAGGUCCGUUAGAGUCCACCGUGGCCUGUGUGGGAAGCAAGUCUCUCCCAGGGCACACAUGAACAGACUUCAUGCCCACAUCCACAGUGAACAGUGGCUUCUGCCUUCCAGAUGGGCUUACCCUAAAUCAACACAUAUUCCUAGGAUGUGGGAACAUAUGCAAUACUUAAAUGCACAGGCUCUGGGUUCAGACUCCCUAGGGUUAAAUUCUCCCUGUGCCGGCUAGCUGCAUGAUUAGAUUUGUGAUCUUGACAAAGUUACCUAACGUCUCUGGGCCUCACUUUUCUCAUCUGCAAAAUAGGGAAAAUAGCAACACUUCUCCAUAGGGGUGUGGUGAGGAUAAAGAGUAGAUGUAAAUAAAGUGUUGAAUGUAGAGCCUGGCACAUAUCAAGCUCUUAAAAAGCAAUGGCCAUUUUGUUAUUUUUACCGCAACGACAACUGCAGUUAUUAUCUGGCUUCAGAGCUCUCUUUUUAAAAACAGUAUUCCCUGGUUUUACACCCAGGUGCUAAUACUAUUCUAUGAAGCUAAUGUAUAGAGACCAUAUCUUUUUAACAAACGUGUAUAUAUGAGUCAUUUCCGGCACAUUUGAUACACAUCAUCUCGUUUGGUCCUUAAAACAAGCCUAGGCCAUAAGCAGGGUACGUGUUACCACUUUGCCAUUCCUGUUUUACAGAGGCUUAGACACAUUGAGAAGCUUUUCCAUAGUCACUUAACAAGUGAUGGGUGAAGCCAAAUCAAGCCUUUAGAUCUCCAAGCUCUUUCCAUUAAACCAUAUAAAUCACGGGUUGGCAAACUUUUUCUGCAAAGGGGACAGAUAGUAAAUAGUUUAAGCCUUAUGGGCCACAUGCUGUGUCUGUUUCAUAUUCUGCUCCUUUUUUAUUUUUAUUUUUUUUAAGAAAAGACACCCUUUAAACAUAUAAAAACCAUUCUGAGCAACAGGCUGGUGCUAAAAACAGGUCAUGGUAACCAUUGGCUCUAGGGUUGUAGUUUACUGUUGAUAUAGAUUGUACACUGAUAAGCCAAAAUACAAACCUAAUGAAACUGACAUACUUAAGGAACUUUACUCUUUGUUAGCAAUCAUUGUUAAUAUUUAUUGAAUGGUGACUACGUGGGAAAUGCUGUUCCAAGUGUGAUAGAUAUAUUAACUUACUUAAUCCUCACACCCACUCUAAUUUCCUAAGUACUAUUGUCAGACUCAUUUUACAGACAGGAAAAGCAAGGCAUAGAGAAGGUAAGUAACUUUUCCGAGGUCACAUGGCUAUUAAGUAGCAGAGCUGUGAUUCAAAUAUAAGCGGUUUGGCACCAGAUCCUGUGCACUUAACCGCUUGCAUCUCGGUUGGGAGCACUGACUGGUUCAGCUAUUGGGAGGGAAGAAAGGGGAUGGGGAAGCCACAUAACCCCUAGGAGAUUCUGUAAUAAAUAUGCUUCAGAGCCAUUCACCUUGAAGCUGAGGAGGCAUGGAAGCAGGCCACCUGUGUUCUGUACAGCAUCACCAGGCUGGAAAUCUGCCAUGGCUUUCCUUCACGCCAUCACAAGAGGAUACAGAUGAGGCUGCAGAGGCAUCUUGAUUUGAGAAAAGCAUUUGACUGGAUCUCAUUAAAUUUUAAUCAUUAACUGAAUUCAAAAUAAAUUGAAAACUGGUUGACAGAGCACCAACAAAGGGUGAUGAUAAAUGGUGAUGCAUCUAGAGGGGAGCUAUCUUCCAGGGGACAACUCUAAGGCAAGGACGGAUGGGAUUUAAUGAAGGUGUUAUGUCCCCAGAAGAAGACAAAUAGCACAGCAAGGAACAGAGGAAGGACAGGAGUGAGCAGCCUGAGUAAUUAAUAAACCAUAUUAACAGCUCCUCCAUAAUCAGGCCUUGGUGAUCACAACUGCUUGGAUUUUUUCUUAAGCUUUCUUUGAGUCAGGAAUAGGUUUGAAGCGUCCUAGAGACACACAGCAUGAAUAUUUCAGGUGGACAUUAAAAAGAAAUCUAUAAAUUUACAGCUGGGAGGAUCCUGAGAUCUACUUCGGAUCAGAAACUUUCAAUUACAAGAUUCCCAAGGCCUUACUUCAUUCCCCAGAGAGUAAUCUUUUUAAUAAAUGUCCAAAAGUCAUGGAUUUAAAAAAAAAUCUUUAAACUCAUUAAUGUCCUUUGUUUCCUGCCCAAAUGCAUGCAAACUUUCAUAACACUGGUUUGCUGAGUGGAAGGUUGGUUUUGAGUGAACUGUUUGGCUCAGAUUCAAACUCCAAUGAACAAAUACUUCCAAGUUUACUUGCUGAAUUUCCCAUACAGAGAAGUUCUUCCACUGGGCUUGCCAGAGGAUUUGAAACAGUGGUGAGCCCUGGAAGGAAGGGAAUAUUUACUGGCCCUUGGACAUAAACCCAGCACAGUAAGACUCACAUCAGGCUGAAGGCAGUGCAGUAUGAACCGACCUGAUUUGAGGAAGUUUGCUCUGGGACUCCUCUGAGCUACUAAAUGAGGAGGAGAAGGACUAAUGGGAACACACUGACUCCAUCACAUUAGAAGUUAUAAUAAACAUUUAGAGAACAACCUCAAACCAGCCCAUGUUUUUUUUUUUUUUCUGUCGUUGUCAUUGUUUUGGUUUUUGUUUUUUUGUUUCUUCAGAUAAGAUGGUUUCUCUAAGCACAUGUGUGAUCCCUAAUUCAGCCACAGCCACGGAGUGAAGGAGAGGAAGGGGUAGAAAGGAAAAACCAAGAGAGGAAGAGGAAGGGAGAGAAAGGAAGGAAGGAGAACGGAAGAGAAGUAAGGAAAGUGGGGAAACGCUGAAGGAUUUUUUUGUAUUUGCCUUUUAUUGGUGUAGGAGAGACACUUAUUUACUUGUAAUUUGUAUGUAGUGCUGGGUAUGAGAAGGGGCAGUUGGAAGAGAAGGGAAAGAAUGAAUAUAGGUGAAAGGUAAGAGUGUCAUAGGGUAAGCUGGGAGGCCAGGAAGAGUUUGGACAGACAGCUCAGAGUAGGAAGAGAGUUCAGAGCGGGGAGGGAGACCUGUUGACUCUGGGAAGGGGAAAGGGAAAAAACACUGGCAUCCUGACUGCAGGGAAACAAUGAGGCAGCGGAGAGCAAGUAUCCCUCAUUGCUGAGGGAGCUGCCAAGACCCCAGGCAGCCUCAGUCUGUGGGGUGCGGCCUGUGGGGUGCGAGGAGAGGGGCACAGGCUGGGAGCUCCGGUCAGUCCU
rnacentral:lncRNA from 10 species